rnacentral:rRNA from 1 species
UCCAGACUCCUACGGGAGGCAGCAGUGAGGAAUAUUGGUCAAUGGGCGGAAGCCUGAACCAGCCAAGUCGCGUGAGGGAAGAAGGCCCUGCGGGUCGCAGACCUCUUUGGACGGGGAGCAAGGCCGCCGACGUGUCGGCGGAAGGAGAGUACCCGUAGAACAAGCAUCGGCUAACUCCGUGCCAGCAGCCGCGGUAAUACGUAGGGGGCAAGCGUUAUCCGGAUUUACUGGGUGUAAAGGGAGCGUAGACGGUUAUGCAAGUCUGGAGUGAAAGGCGGGGGCUCAACCCCCGGACUGCUCUGGAAACUGUAGAACUAGAGUGCAGGAGGGGUAAGUGGAAUUCCUAGUGUAGCGGUGAAAUGCGUAGAUAUUAGGAGGAACACCAGUGGCGAAGGCGGCUUACUGGACUGUAACUGACGUUGAGGCUCGAAAGCGUGGGGAGCAAACAGGAUUAGAUACCCCUGUA